AGGAUUUGCCGUUGUCAGUGCCGGGGCUGUGGUUAAAUUGCCUCCCCGUAGGCUGCACUUGCUCACACGCCUGCCCUCCCGGUGUCAGGGUCAUGCCCCUCACUCCUAACGCCAUGCAGCACGUAGCCAUUCAGGGGCCCUUUGGGGGCCCCUCCCAGCGAGCUCACUCUAAUCAGAGACAGCAAAGGUGUUGGAUCUGCUUGAUUUUCAAAUGAUUUACCCAGAAGCAUCCACCCUCUCAGCCCCUAGUGUGGGGAAUAUGAGCCCUUCCCUGGAAACACUGCUAGAAAAAGAAAAAAAAAAAAAGGAAGAGAGAGAGAGGGCUCAUUGAAUAGGGCAUCCCUAAAACGUGGACAGAGGAAGCAGAGAGAAUGGAGUCCAAACACUCAGAUCCUGUUGUCACCCCACCAGGGUCUACCCAGCAACGCCGAGACACUGAACAGGGCCCUCGUGAGUGCCUAGAAACGGUGGUGAUCAACUCCCACCCCUGAGCCUCCCUCAGUCCCCAGAUCAGCAGCAGGGAUUUUUUUACAGCCCUCUACCCAGCCACCCUGGGUCCUGUGCAGCCAACCUGGGUCCACACAUGUCCGGGACUCACAGAUGAGAUGGAACUGUCCCACGCAUGGUCUCUGGGGCAGAAACUGCUGCGGAGCCUGCCGAGGCCACUCCUGCCGACUGGCCAGGGCACAGCAUCUGACCCAGGAGGCUGUGACCUCGCUGCCCCAGGCCUGGCAUGGCCUGUGGACAGUGGCCCGUCCCGCCGGCCACCAGGAACCUCCCCUCGGUGCCCACCCCAUCCACCUCGCCAAGACUAAUCUAGAAAUUAUUUAUAGAUCCGAACUCCACAGAAACCAUUGUGUCUGCCGUUGCCAUGGCAAUGGGGAUGUGGCAGGAGCGCCAGGCUCUCAGGCUUUCCAGGGCCCGUGGAGGCCGGCAAGGGCGGUCGAUUUCUCCCAGGAGCCCCUGACUCACGCCCACCUUCAGAGGCCCCCGGGAGUGAAGAAGACAGCCUUCCCACCCGUUUCCAGCAGGGCUGGCUGCAUCCAGGAAGACAGCGCUGCUGGUGAGUGGUUCGGCUUUGUUUCAGACCACUCAAAGAAAUCAUCUAGAACAACGUCCGCAAGACUGGCGGUGCAACUGUCCCCCUUGGAACCUCUCGGGAACACAGCCUCUGUCUCCUCACCGCAGAGCAGCUGCGUCAGACUCCCAGACGGCGGGGCCUAGGGAUCUGUGUUUUGGUUUUGGGAUCUGUGCAAAUCCACAUGACUCAAUAAUCCAAACAUACAGAGAGCCUGGGAACCCUUACCCCGCUCUGGCGCCCUAUGUGUCCGCUUUCAUUGGCUUCUUGUAUUUCCGGCUUGUUUUCUUUAGGGAG
rnacentral:lncRNA from 1 species